rnacentral:rRNA from 1 species
ACCCAGACUCCUACGGGAGGCAGCAGUGGGGAAUAUUGGGCAAUGGGCGCAAGCCUGACCCAGCAACGCCGCGUGAAGGAAGAAGGCUUUCGGGUUGUAAACUUCUUUUCUUGGGGACGAAGAAAGUGACGGUACCCAAGGAAUAAGCCACGGCUAACUACGUGCCAGCAGCCGCGGUAAUACGUAGGAUGCGAGCGUUAUCCGGAUUCAUUGGGUUUAAAGGGUGCGCAGGCGGGCCUUUAAGCCGGCGGGAAAAUCGCGGGGCCCAACCCCGCCGAGCCGUCGGAACUGGGGGCCUUGAGUGCGGCGGAGGCAUGCGGAAUGCGCGGUGUAGCGGUGAAAUGCAUAGAUAUCACGCAGAACUCCGAUCGCGAAGGCAGCCUACCGGCGCGCAACUGACGCUCAUGCACGAAAGCGUGGGUAUCGAACAGGAUUAGAUACCCUCGUA